GCCCACAUAAUAAAAUCUUACAAAUUAACAAAUAAUAGAAACAACUAAAUAAAUUAAAUAGACAAUAAAGUACAGAAAUGGAAAAUAUAAUAAAUAAAAGUAAAUUUUAACAACUGUACCUUGUGCAUUAUGGUUUUACAAGAAAAUAGUUAAAGACAACAAUCCCGAAUUCUAAGUGAGAUGUUAAACUGCUGUUAUGAACCCACUAAUAUCUGUGGAACAAGAUUUAAAAGACAGUUUAACAGAGGCUACAUACCAUCCGCAUAAGAAUAUAGCUGGUUUUCAACAAACAUUAUACAUUAAAACAUAUAAUAGUAUUAUAGUGUAAAAUUAUUGAGGAUAAGCCCAAUAAUUUUAGCAAUGGAAGAAUCAAAUCACUUUACGACCAUAGGCCUAAAAUCAGCCAAUUAAAGUACUUUAUCGUAAUAUACAGUGAUAAAAUAUAUAAAUAUACACAUGCUAAAUAAAGUUGAAAUAGUGGACUAACCACCACGCCCACUUAUACUAUGUAAAAAUAAGUAUUAUAAAUAUAUGACAACAAUAAACUAGUAAUCUUCAACACAUAAACAAUAAUAAUUAAUUAAGGAACUCGGCAAAACAUUAUUUCGACUGUUUAACAAAAACAUUGUCUCAUGUAUAAUAUAUGAGAUAAUACCUGCCCAGUGACAACUGUUCAACGGCCGCGGUAUCCUAACCGUGCAAAGGUAGCAUAAUCACUUGCCUAUUAAUUGUAGGCUAGAAUGAAGGGGUUAACGAAAUAAAAACUGUCUCAAUUAAUUACCUAAAAAUUAUUCUCUACUCGAAGAAAAGUAGAUACUCUCGAAGGACAAGAAGACCCUAUGGAGCUUAAUUUUACCUAUAGAACUAUAUUAUAAAAAUAUUCGGUUGGGGCGACCCAGGGCUAAAUAAUCACCCAUUGUAUAAAAGAUAAAUAAAUCAAGAAAAUGACCCUUAAAAGAUCAUAAGACAAGCUACCUUAGGGAUAACAGGCUAAUCCCACUCAAGAGUCCUUAUCAACAGUGGGGCUUGGCACCUCGAUGUUGGCUUAGGGUAUCUAUAUAGCGCAAAAGUUAUAUAAAGAUGGUUUGUUCAACCAGUAACUUCCCUACAUGAGCUGAGUUCAGACCGGCGUAAGCCAGGUUAGCUUCUAUCCUCGACUACAAUAUUCUGCUCCUAGUACGAAAGGACCUGAGUAAAAUAAUUACUUAUAAAAAAGAAUACAUAUAAUUAAAUAUAAACGUUCUAAAGCACAAACUAUG
rnacentral:rRNA from 1 species